GAGUCGAUAGCGUAGCCGGUUAUCGCGCCUGUCCCAAAUAUGAUCAAUGUCAUAAUCGAUGGUACAGGCAGGAGACCCCCAGUUCGAGCCUGGGUCGACUCG